rnacentral:rRNA from 1 species
ACGGCUCAGUAACACGUAGUCAACAUGCCCAGAGGACGUGGAUAACCUCGGGCAAACUGAGGAUAAACCGCGAUAGGCCAUAAUUACUGGAAUGGGUUAUGGCUUAAACCUAUAUGGCCUCUGGAUUGGACUGCGGCCGAUCAGGCAGUUGGUGAGGUAAUGGCCCACCAAACCUGUUACCGGUACGGGCUCUGAGAGGAGGAGCCCGGAGAUGGGCACUGAGACAAGGGCCCAGGCCCUAUGGGGCGCAGCAGGCGCGAAACCUCUGCAAUAGGCGAAAGCCUGACAGGGUUACUCUGAGUGAUUCCCGCUAAGGGGAUCUUUUGGCACCUCUAAAAAUGGUGCAGAAUAAGGGGUGGGCAAGUCUGGUGUCAGCCGCCGCGGUAAUACCAGCACCCCGAGUGGUCGGGACGAUUAUUGGGCCUAAAGCAUCCGUAGCCGGUCAUGCAAGUCCUCCGUUAAAUCCACCUGCUCAACAGAUGGGCUGCGGAGGAUACUACAAGGCUAGGAGGCGGAAGAGGCAAGCGGUACUCAGUGGGUAGGGGUAAAAUCCUCUGAUCCAUUGAAGACCACCAGUGGCGAAGGCGGCUUGCCAAUACGCGCUCGACGGUGAGGGAUGAAAGCUGGGGGAGCAAACCGGAUUACUGUAAAACGACGGCCAGUGAAUUGUAAUACGACUCACUAUAGGGCGAAUUGGGCCCUCUAGAUGCAUGCUCGAGCGGCCCCCAGUGUGAUGGAAUAUCUGCAGAAUUCGCCUUCG